rnacentral:rRNA from 1 species
GACGAACGCUGGCGGCGUGCUUAACACAUGCAAGUCGAGCGGUAAGGCCCUUUCGGGGGUACACGAGCGGCGAACGGGUGAGUAACACGUGGGUGACCUGCCCUCAGCUCUGGGAUAAGCCUGGGAAACCGGGUCUAAUACUGGAUAUGACUCCAUGACGCAUGUUGUGGGGUGGAAAGCCUUGUGCGGCUGAGGAUGGGCCCGCGGCCUAUCAGCUUGUUGGUGGGGGAUGGCCCACCAAGGCGACGACGGGUAGCCGGCCUGAGAGGGCGACCGGCCACACUGGGACUGAGACACGGCCCAGACUCCUACGGGAGGCAGCAGUGGGGAAUCUUGCGCAAUGGGCGAAAGCCUGACGCAGCGACGCCGCGUGAGGGAUGACGG